UAUGCAAAAGUUCACUUUGAUCCACUCACUUAUUUAAAAGUUAUUUACCUCAAACUGCAGACAAGACGGUAAUUUUCGCUGGAUUCACUAUAAACUUUUCAUUAUUAUUUUCUUGAAGCUGUUUUCUUCUUUUUAGAGUGAAAAUUCAGACAUUCACAAUUAAAAUUUUUUAUCGUUGAUCAGGAGAAAGAAAGAAUAAACCUUAAGAAGUCUGCAGUUUUCAAAUUUCGACUUUUAGUCGAUAUCGUAGAGUUGAAAUAUCUUUAAAUUGCAAUAUUAGUUUUGAUUGACACGUUUUCUUUAUUCUUUUUCUUUUGUGUGACGGCGUGUCUCUUGAUUCUUCCAUUUCUUGAAAUCGCGAGAAACGCCCCGUCGAAUGACGUUUUCGCCGACGCGUGCGUUUUGAUGAGAAACGUCUUCGGAUCUGAAUUGCGCGCAUAUUACAAAACAAUAACUCACAACGUCAAGAUAAACACAAGACGAUAAAGCCGAGAAACUUUCGAUAAAGAUAGAUAAUUCUCUCUUAUCGAUUCUUAUUAUUGAAUUACUUAUUUCGAAAUAAAUACAAGUUUUGUAUUGCUAUGUUUUCCUAUGGACCUUCAAGCUUACGUAUUAAACUUUGACUUUCUCAAACGAAAUACGUACUGAUACGUAGGCGCCAAGAAAGCUUUUAGAAUAAACUCAUUUCGGAAUUUAGUUCAUCCGAAUAAAGUCCAAGUGACUCAUCUGCUUUCGUCUUAAAAGUGUUAUCCGCUGAUAACGAAAUAUAUUCCUCGUUUCGUUUGACGUGAAACGCUCGACCCGAUUCGCGCGUGCUUACAUCCGCGUCACUCCGUAAACUCGUCGAACAAUAAUUUUCGUUUGAGUUGAGAUCGACACUCGGUCGAGAACCAACACGACAGCGCGUUGAAAAUUCCAUACUUUAAUUAAUUGUAUCACUGGUGCGUACACGACGCAUUCAAGACCCGGGCCUCCCCCAAUCGUCGUAAAUUUAUAUGAUCGCCUAAAGAGAAAAAGGAAGAGAAAAAGAGGAAGACGUAACGAUUUUAUUGAGAGUUUCUUUUAUGUAAUAACGAGUGAUUUUAUCAUCUUCUCGGGAGGCGUACAUAAUUCCACGGCAACGGCCAUUAUAUCAUAGCGCUGGCGAUACUCAUUGGCGUAUUGACAGCGUUUCAUCUCAUUGUCACUCUACUCCGCCAUUGUUCGGCGUCGAGGCUUGGUGUUGACGGUGCUGAAAUGUAAGCCGGUCGCUAUCAACCGAAUGGGAUGACAGCAUCGAUGAUAAGAAAACCGUCGAGCCAUCGCGCAGUCACGCGUCUUGAAAGGGUUCGGCUUAAUUGACGAUCGAUUUUGUGACGAAAAGACGCAAAGUGGAAAUUUUAUAUCGCGAAAUGCGAUCGUAAAUCAAACAUCGAUUUGCAACAAGUGCAGCGUGGUGCAAGGAACGGACGUUUUGACUUUCCUUCUCUGCCAAGGGUGACGAUCUCAGUGCCGCACCUGAAUAUUCCAUGGGCCCCGUCGUAAAACGUCAAGUACGUUCGUGAUUAGGUUGGCAGCGGUACCGGACGGAUGGUGCCGCUUGGGAACGGUAGAAGGGAGAGGGAAAGGUCGCAUGACCGCAAGUGCAGCUGCACCCAAAGACUUGUGUAUGGUUUAACAUAGCGGGGCGGCCGGAGGCCAAGCAGUUAGAGGCAUUAAGGUAUCCAUGCACCCGAUUCAGUGCGUAUUUUUUUCGCUUUCGGAUCCUGUUGAUAUAAUGUAGAAAAUAAAUUCAUACUUCAUGACAAA